rnacentral:rRNA from 1 species
UGGGGAAUAUUGCACAAUGGGGGAAACCCUGAUGCAGCGACGCCGCGUGAGCGAAGAAGGCUUUCGAGUCGUAAAGCUCUGUCCUAUGAGAAGAUAAUGACGGUAUCAUAGGAGGAAGCCCUGGCUAAAUACGUGCCAGCAGCCGCGGUAAUACGUAUGGGGCGAGCGUUGUCCGGAAUUAUUGGGCGUAAAGGGUACGUAGGUGGUUUUUUAAGUCAGGUGUCAAAGCGUGGAGCUUAACUCCAUUAAGCACUUGAAACUGAAAGACUUGAGUGAAGGAGAGGAAAGUGGAAUUCCUAGGGUAGCGGUGAAAUGCGUAGAUAUUAGGAGGAAUACCGGUGGCGAAGGCGACUUUCUGGACUUUUACUGACGCUCAGGUACGAAAGCGUGGGGAGCAAACAGG